AUUGGAACAACUUAGUGCAUGCAACAUUAGAAUUUUCAACACCAGCAAUUUUAAAAUGAAAAUCUGAAGAUUUUUUUGUAGAAAGCAAUAAAUGCCUAGUUUAGGCAACAACUUCUUUUAAAUUAUGUAAUAUUAUGUCAAAAGACAGCCAGUACCUUUCUUCAUUUAAUCCAGGACACAUAACAUUUCCAAAGUAACAAUUUUAAGGCAAAUCGCAAGCAUGCAUAAAGAAUGCCUGACUACAAACCCCAUGAAGCAUUUUCAGUAUUUAUUUGGUUUUUUUCUCCAAAAACUAUUCUUGGCUAUGCAAUAGCCAUGGUGCAACAUAGGUAGCACUGCAGUAGCACACAGCUGAGCGCUGGGCACAAAAUCCUUCUGCAAAUCAAAGUGAACACUUGGGUGUUUAGUCCGUGCUGAGCUCCCUGCUGUUGCCUGCAGCUCAGGAACUGUGAACAGACGAGGCUGCAGCAGCAGCUCAUACUGCACCCUUUCCACAGUGGUUCAAAGACAGGCCUAGGUGGAAAAAGUGUCUGUCCCUGACUUCUGAAGUAAGACUUCUCACAGCAGAACUACAUUUCAGUAGGAAAAUAUAUCUAGCAAGACUUGCACUGGAUUCUGUCACUUUAAGUUAAGCUUCUGUGUCUGCCUCAAAAACAUCCCCUUGCCCUGCACAAGUUCUUGGCCUUGUUAGGAAAACUACUAGGUAAUAUUUUUAAGCCUGUGCUUUGAUGAAGUCAAAAUAAAUUAUUAAAAUGGCCCCUUCUGACUUCAGAAAAUAUAAAAGAAAAACAAUUAAUAUGAUCCAUUAGCAGCAGAGAAAAAGACAUUUUAUUUUAAAGCCAAAGAAUAAAGUCAUAGAUUUUUUUCAUAGCUACUUAGUUGUUUUCAGAGUCUGCACAUGUACUGAACUGUGAUCUUCCACACCGAAAAUAAAUUAGGGCUUAAGUUAAUUUAAAAAAAAAAAAAAAAGCCUUAAUUUCAACUCCUAAAUGUUUUUUUUAAGACUCUGGGAAAAGAAAACGGACCAACUUUCAAACAUGACAAGCCCUGAGGAACUCCCAUUGAUCCUGAGGUGUUACAUACAUACCUCUUCAGAGAAGUCAACAGCUUCAUUCACACCAGUGAAUUCUGGUUGUGGCUAAAGAGGGAGUCUGGGACUCUGCAGACUGAAUAAAUCAGAAAAAAAGUUGAGACUUCUGAUCCCA
rnacentral:lncRNA from 1 species